UACGGAGGGGACUAGCGUUGUUCGGAAUUACUGGGCGUAAAGCGUGCGCAGGCGGUUUUGUAAGCCAGAUGUGAAAUCCCCGGGCUUAACCUGGGAAUGGCAUUUGGGACUGCAAGGCUGGAGUUUGGCAGAGGAGACUGGAAUUCCUGGUGUAGCAGUGAAAUGCGUAGAUAUCAGGAGGAAUACCGAUGGCGAAGGCAGGUCUCUGGGCUGAAACUGACGCUCAUGCACGAAAGCGUGGGGAGCAAACAGG
rnacentral:rRNA from 1 species